UACAGAGACCCCAAGCGUUAUCCGGAUUUAUUGGGCGUAAAGCGCGGGUAGGCGGUUUUAUUAGUCAGAUGUCAAAUCUUCCGGCUCAACCGGAAAACUGCAUUUGAAACGGUAAGACUUGAGAGCGUGAGAGAUCGGUGGAAUUCACGGUGUAGUAGUGAAAUGCGUUGAUAUCGUGAGGAACACCCAAGGCGAAGGCAGCCGAUUGGCGCGCCUCUGACGCUGAGCCGCGAAAGCGUGGGUAGCGAAUGGG
rnacentral:rRNA from 1 species